rnacentral:rRNA from 1 species
UACGGAGGGUGCAAGCGUUAUCCGGAUUCACUGGGUUUAAAGGGUGCGUAGGUGGGCAGUUAAGUCAGUGGUGAAAUCUCCGGGCUUAACCCGGAAACUGCCAUUGAUACUAUCUGUCUUGAAUAUCGUGGAGGUAAGCGGAAUAUGUCAUGUAGCGGUGAAAUGCUUAGAUAUGACAUAGAACACCAAUUGCGAAGCAGCUUACUACCCGAAUAUUGACACUGAGGCACGAAAGCGUGGGGAUCAAACAGG